AGAGUUUGAUUAUGGCUCAGGAUGAACGCUAGCGAUAGGCCUAACACAUGCAAGUCGAGGGGCAGCACAUGAAGUAGCAAUACGGAUGGUGGCGACCGGCGCACGGGUGAGUAACGCGUAUGCAACCUGCCUACAACAGGGGAAUAACCCGUUGAAAGACGGACUAAUACCCCGUAACACAGGGAUCCCGCAUGGGAAUAUUUGUUAAAGAUUUAUCGGUUGUAGAUGGGCAUGCGUUCCAUUAGCUGGUUGGUGAGGUAACGGCUCACCAAGGCAACGAUGGAUAGGGGAACUGAGAGGUUUAUCCCCCACACUGGUACUGAGACACGGACCAGACUCCUACGGGAGGCAGCAGUGAGGAAUAUUGGUCAAUGGACGCAAGUCUGAACCAGCCACGUCGCGUGAAGGAAGACGGCCCUACGGGUUGUAAACUUCUUUUGUAAGGGAAUAAAGUGCAGUACGUGUACUGUUUUGCAUGUACCUUACGAAUAAGGAUCGGCUAACUCCGUGCCAGCAGCCGCGGUAAUACGGAGGAUCCGAGCGUUAUCCGGAUUUAUUGGGUUUAAAGGGUGCGCAGGCGGGAGAUUAAGUCGGCGGUGAAAUUUUGCAGCUCAACUGUAAAAGUGCCUUCGAAACUGGUUUUCUUGAGUGUGGAUGAAGUAGGCGGAAUUUGUGGUGUAGCGGUGAAAUGCAUAGAUAUCACGAGGAACUCCGAUUGCGCAGGCAGCUUACUAAACCAUAACUGACGCUCACGCACGAAAGCGUGGGGAUCAAACAGGAUUAGAUACCCUGGUAGUC
rnacentral:rRNA from 1 species